UACAGAGGUCCCAAGCGUUGUUCGGAUUCAUUGGGCGUAAAGGGUGCGUAGGCGGCGCGGUAAGUCGGGUGUGAAAUCUCGGAGCUUAACUCCGAAACUGCAUUCGAUACUGCCGUGACUCGAGUCCGGUAGGGGAGUGUGGAAUUCCCGGUGUAGCGGUGAAAUGCGCAGAUAUCGGGAGGAACACCAGUAGCGAAGGCGGCACUCUGGGCCGGUACUGGACGCUGAGGAGCGAAAGCGUGGGGAGCGAACAGG
rnacentral:rRNA from 1 species